GAUGCACCUGGUUUCCUGCAAAUGUGAGCCCCGUGGAAGUAUUACAGGAGUCUGUGAUGAUGAAGCCUUCAACUUUGCUAUUUCAUGGUCCCAUCCUGGCAGCCCUCAGGAACGGCCAAGGAGUUGCGGUGUGAUGACGGUGUCAGCUGCCGAGCAGGCCUGAAGCGUGCGGCCCGAGGAGCUGUGCCCUCACAGGAGAACGGUGAGUGGGAAAAUUGUCACGUUUUGACCGCCGUGCUGCUAAGAUUGUGUGCUCACAUUUGGUUUCCUUUCUCUUGGCAGACUCAGAGACAACAGCCUGGUGUCAGCAGGGACUUCCCAGACAGCGGGUCCGCUUUCUUUCCACCCAGCACGGAUCGGCACGCCCACCUGUCCGAGAGAUAAGUAGAGGGCUACGACCCACAGAGGGGAUGAAAGCGGGGUCUGGGUCACAACUCACAGGGAGGGGAUUUCGAUUUGUCUUUGGAGACGAGGAUGUCCAAGCAGUGCCCCCUUAGGCCCUGUAAAGGGAAAGUAUCGCUUUUGAUCAGAGUGCCAAGGUGCACAGGGCAGAGCAGGUCCGGUGUGUAUCGUGUCACUUGUCUAUCGUGCAUUCUGUGUUUUUUGUAUAUGUCAUGUCUAUUACCUCAGGCCUUUGAGGGGCCUAUCAGAAACCAUUCUUGGCAUCUGUGAUCCGCGUUCUUUAUUCUGGCACCAAUGCCAUAGAACUUUUGACUUAGGAGCUCAGACUGCCAUCAGACUCGCAUCUCUUCUUUAGAAGCAUCCAGUCAGAUGUCUUCUCAGGUCUUGUCCCGAGCUGUACGGGAAGCCGCUCCCUGCAAGGGAUCCAUUACGGCAGGUUAGGACUUGUCAGAAUGCGAGCUCUAGGCAGAGGAUUCUGACCGUAGGAUUCCCAGGCAUCCAUCUUGGCAGUUCUUGAGAUAAAUCAUUCAGUUAGCAUCUUCUUCCUCCAGGCUUCUCUGAGCCUCAUCAGCUCUCCAUCGGUCUCACCUCGGUCAUCUCAUUCUUCAUUCUCUCAGUCCUUGCAGUCAUUUUCCUUGCCAAGAGAUUUCUGUCCGUGUUGUGUCCCCCUUGUUUGUCACGUCCCGUCCUGUGUCACGGGUGUCUGCACGCAUUUGUGCCGGAGCCGCUCUGCCCUGCCGCAUAGCCUGGUGCAAUAGGGGAAGUCCCGGGGCCUUGUAGUUGGUAAUGUGGGGUGUGGUUGGACUCUAGAUGGCAUUUGUAGAUGGACACAAGAUGUUUGCAGCUGGGAAGCUAUCCUGGAGACCUUUGACGUUUGUUCUUACUUGUUUUUCAGAUUCAUCUGGAUAAUAUCUGUGCACGAGGGCCCCAUCCUGGGUCUGGGAGUCCCGCGGAGCAGGUCCGUCACUGUUUGUCUCUGCAGCAGAAGUGUAAAUGGUGACUCUGUUACAGCGCUGUUCUUUGUCUUUUUCGGAAGUCAAGGCAGAGAGCCACAGUCAAGGCCAAGUAGGCAAGGUGGUCCACUUGCCAUCUCUCCUGGCCGAGCAUGCCCGAUGUCAGGUGCUGUCACCGCUCCAGGCAUGCCAAAGAACAGAGGAGAGCAGGUAUCCUUUGAGCAGCCUCUGGAGUAGAAUCAGGAUUUGAGGUACCCGGAGGAGGUUCGCAGCCAAAGUUCGGAAACGGCAGCGCCGAAGCGAACACGGAGAACGUCCCGACGUCCACGUACAACCGACGAUGGAUUUCGUCCGCUCGUCUUCCAAAAGCUAAGUGUCGCGGCCGGUAGUUGGGAGAAGGGGAAAAACCUUUACUAUCACGGGGGCAAUUUGAUGUCAGUUUAGCGCAGAGGUCCGUAGCGGGACGGGCUCUCCGGAAGCAAAGGGAGAGGGUUUCUCCUCAGCCUCACCACAGCCUUUGCCGGGCAGGGCAGUUCCGACCCAUCUCCACAUUGUCGUAAACUUUGCGUCGUCAGCCUCCUUCGACUCGACGUCGUCACGGAUCUUUCACCCGAGGAGUUCGCCUUCAGGUCCCCGAGGCUACCGAUUUUCCCCAGAAUCUACCAUUUGACAUCGAGGAGCAGCAGCCAGAGGAUGCAUCGAAGCACGUUCUCCAGCGUUUCAAGUAAGGGCCGCAGUGAGCAUCCAAGUUGGAAGAGUGUGAGAGCACGUGGCCGUCUGCGUCCGCUCGUCUCCGCUCGUGUGAGUGCAUGCUGACCGGAUCUAACCUUGUGUGUAUGACCUUUUGCUUUUCAGGUUUUUCAACUCAUUUUUAAAUUUAGAAUAAAAAAUCCCCAGCCGGGGGGUUUUUUUUUUUUUCCCCCCGGCUGGGUUUUUUUUUCCUCGGUCCCGGUCGGUCCGCGAGGCGACGUUCAUCGCCAAAGUUUGGGCGCGGACCGUCCAGGGGCCGGGGUUUUCGUCAGGCAGGAGGAUUUUUUGGAGGCUCCCGGGAACCACGUUCCCCAGGAGCCGUGCGAAUGUGUGCCGGUUGUUAGCAGAGUGAAUAAGAUGUGAGCAAUGGUGGGUUUGUGCGUAAGCUGAAGGAAGCGUGUGUGUGUGUGUGUUGAAGGGUUUUAACCUUGUAUGACUUUUGCCUUUCAGGUUUUUCAACUCAUUUUUAAAUUUAGAAUAAAAAAUCCCCAGCCGGGGGGGUUUUUUUUUUUUCCCCCCGGCUGGGUUUUUUUUUCCUCGGUCCCGGUCGGUCCGCGAGGCGACGUUCAUCGCCAAAGUUUGGGCGCGGACCGUCCAGGGGCCGGGGUUUUCGUCAGGCAGGAGGAUUUUUUGGAGGCUCCCGGGAACCACGUUCCCCAGGAGCCGUGCGAAUGUGUGCCGGUUGUUAGCAGAGUGAAUAAGAUGUGAGCAAUGGUGGGUUUGUGCGUAAGCUGAAGGAAGCGUGUGUGUGUGUGUGUUGAAGGGUUUUAACCUUGUAUGACUUUUGCCUUUCAGGUUUUUCAACUCAUUUUUAAAUUUAGAAUAAAAAAUCCCCAGCCGGGGGGUUUUUUUUUUUUUCCCCCCGGCUGGGUUUUUUUUUCCUCGGUCCCGGUCGGUCCGCGAGGCGACGUUCAUCGCCAAAGUUUGGGCGCGGACCGUCCAAGGACCGGGGUUUUCGUCAGGCAGGAGGAUUUUUUUGGAGGCUCCCGGGAACCGUGUUCCUGAGGAGCGCUGCGAAUGAGUGCCAGGGGUUAGCAGAGCUGUUGAGGUGUGAGCGAGGGCGGUUUUGUGUGUAAGCUGAAGGAAGUGUGUGUGUUGAAGGUUUCUAACACCUUGUAUGACUUUUGCCUUUCAGGUUUUUCAACUCAUUUUUAAAUUUAGAAUAAAAAAUCCCCAGCCGGGGGGUUUUUUUUUUUUCCCCCCGGCUGGGUUUUUUUUUCCUCGGUCCCGGUCGGUCCGCGAGGCGACGUUCAUCGCCAAAGUUUGGGCGCGGACCGUCCAGGGGCCGGGGUUUUCGUCAGGCAGGAGGAUUUUUUGGUGGCUCCCGGGAACCACGUUCCCGAGGACCAAAGAUUGCCAGUGUGUAAUUUAGCAGUUGCGCUUAGAGUGACGGUGAUUUUGUGUUGGAAGGGGGUGUUAAUGGUGGAUGAGCGUUGUUUUCAAUGUGCUUUUGUUGUUUUGGGUUUCCUGUAACAAUAAAUCAACCUGUAAUGAAAAAAUGAAAAAGGUUAUCAUAGUGUGCUGCUCUGUAUUGCUCUGUAUUGCUCUGUAUUGCUCUGUAUUGCUCUGUAUUGCUCUGUAUUGCUCUGUAUUGCUCUGUAUUGCUCUGUAUUGCAUUUCCCCGUAUUGCUCUGUAUUGCUCUGUAUUGCAUUUCCCCGUAUUGCUCUGUAUUGCUCUGUAUUGCAUUUCCCCGUAUUGCUCUGUAUUGCUCUGUAUUGCAUUUCCCCGUAUUGCUCUGUAUUGCUCUGUAUUGCAUUUCCCCGUAUUGCUCUGUAUUGCUCUGUAUUGCAUUUCCCCGUAUUGCUCUGUAUUGCUCUGUAUUGCAUUUCCCCGUAUUGCUCUGUAUUGCUCUGUAUUGCAUUUCCCCGUAUUGCUCUGUAUUGCUCUGUAUUGCAUUUCCCCGUAUUGCUCUGUAUUGCUCUGUAUUGCAUUUCCCCGUAUUGCUCUGUAUUGCUCUGUAUUGCUCUGUGUUGGCAUCAGCUGCUGCCUUUCCCCGUAUUGCUCUGUAUGUAAAUUAGACUUUUACCAGUGUGUCUAUAGAUUGUAUCCGUACUUGCAUUUGUAUAGACCGUUUCCAUGUAUUUUGCUGAAGUGUAAAUAAAAAUAUUCAUUUAAUAAA